rnacentral:rRNA from 1 species
CCUACGGGAGGCAGCAGUGAGGAAUAUUGGUCAAUGGACGCAAGUCUGAACCAGCCAUGCCGCGUGCAGGAAGACGGCUCUAUGAGUUGUAAACUGCUUUUGUACGAGGGUAAACGCAGAUACGCGUAUCUGUCUGAAAGUAUCGUACGAAUAAGGAUCGGCUAACUCCGUGCCAGCAGCCGCGGUAAUACGGAGGAUGCAAGCGUUAUCCGGAUUUAUUGGGUUUAAAGGGUGCGUAGGCGGUCGGGUAAGUUAGCGGUGAAAUCCCGAGGCUCAACUUCGGAAUUGCCUCUGAUACUGUUCGGCUAGAGUGUAGUUGCGGUAGGCGGAAUGUAUGGUGUAGCGGUGAAAUGCUUAGAGAUCAUGCAGAACACCGAUUGCGAAGGCAGCUUACCAAGCUACUUCUGACGUUGAGGCACGAAAGCGUGGGGAGCGAACAGGAUUAGAUACCCCAGUAGUC